UCGGUCAUGCCUCGAAGAAACCCAACUUCUGAAGCUGUGAUUCCAGGGUCUAUUGCAACCUAUUCUUAUCAUACUGUUUGUAUAUUUUUAAUUUUUGGUUUUUUUUUUCCCUCCCUUCAAACCGAUGUAAAAAAUAAAAUAAAAAAAAAGGUGGUGGGGGGAGGCUAGGAUUGAAAAGUUGAAGAUGGGAAUAUUGUUUAUUGGAUGUAAAUAUAGUUUUAGACCCUGUCUAGCUAUUUAGUUAUAGCACAAAUAUAUUGAUUGAUCUUAUUAUUUGUUCCUUCCCUCGAGUUCAUUCUAGUUUAUGUUUAUUUGUUUAUCCGUCAAUAUAAUUCUUGGAGAUUGUGAUUGUUGGAGGAAAUGGAAUCUGUAACCAGGAAUCUGAUGAAUUGAUAAUAGUUCAAAUUAUAAAACAGUUUUCUGCAGGUGUGAUGAUGUUUUUGGAUUCAUCAAUUAGCCAAAGUUAUAUCCUUGUGGGAGAGUGAGAGAGAGAAAAUUAGUUGCAUUUAAAGGGAAAAUGACUAUGGUGAUCUCGUGGUUGGAAAUUAUAAAUUAAGAGCAUUCGUAAUAAGCUCGUCAAAGAAGCUUUUUCGCCAAAUUCUGCCCAGAUUCCUCAAAAUUACCUCUGCAGGAAGCUCCUCAGUGCUACAGUAAAUUUGGUGAUUGUCGGAUCUGCUCGUCUGGUCUGCGGAGCCAAGCUUUGCUCGUCUCUUCAUAUUUUCUAUUUCUUUAUUCAGCCUUCCCGCGUUCUCAUUCUUCUGACUGAAGCCAAGAAAAGGUUGAGCUCCUUCCCUCCUGCAAGCUUAUGUGAAUCUCAGGUCUCAUAGGAUCUGUUCAGAGCAAAUCGAAGAGACUUGCGUAGCCUGGUUUCUUGGCAGGCUCUCGUUCCAGCUUCUCCACGAGAACCAUCUCUUUUGGCCCCUUUUCUUCUACUUGAGUUCUCUGCUGUACCCAAGGAUGGAUUCAAACCAAGUCCCAUACUUCACCAAUCUUCUUAGUGUUGAGGGACUGGCUGAGAGGUGGGAAGAAUGGCAGCAUGUUGAGGUUAGUCGCAGGCAAGAGUAUGAGAGACUGCAGAGAAGAUUUGACUGGGGAGAAGAUUCGGUGUAUAACCAAGAUGCCAUUGAAUUGUUUGGUGGAAGAUGAGGUAAUGGAUAAGUCUGGGUCCAUUCCCCCUUGGAUUAUAGACAUGUGGUAUCCUUUUUGGUAGGGUAGCUUAAUGAUUUGUUUUUUAUGCUUACUUUUAUACCCAAUUGGAAUCAUGGCCUCCAAAUUUGAUCUUUGAUCCUUUGUUGGUUCAUGCUUUGUUCCUUUGUUAUUUAACUUAUUUUUAUAUAUAUAUUUUGUAUUUUCUUUUGUUCAUUUGGGUC